rnacentral:rRNA from 1 species
CAAGCGAAUGGUGAAAUCUAACGGCUCAACCGUUCAGACUAUUAUUCGAACUGCAUAACUCGAGAAUGGUAGAGGUAGCUGGAAUUUCUAGUGUAGGAGUGAAAUCCGUAGAUAUUAGAAGGAACACCAAUGGCGUAGGCAGGCUACUGGACCAUUUCUGACACUAAGGCACGAAAGCGUGGGAGCGAACCGGAUUAGAUACCCGGGUAGUCCACGCCGUAAACUAUGGAUACUA